CAAAUCAUAACCAAUUUAUUUUAAUAAACUAGUGAUAAAGAGAAAAUCUAAAACUUAUGCAUAUUAAUAUACAGGGAAAGAGUGUAAGAAUGAUUGCACGCUACAUCAGAGACAAUGCAAGCCAGAAGAAAGCAGACUAUCUUUAAAGUAUUUGAAAUAAAAAGUAAAUCUAGAAUUCCGUAUCCCCAAAAAUAUCCUUAAGAAAGCGUGAGAUAAAUAAUUUUCAGACAAAAACUGAGAGAACCUGUCACCAGAAGAUUGCACAACAAAGAAUGUCAAAGAACUUCUUCAGGCUGAAGGAAAAUGAUUUUUCAAUGAAAAUGCAGAUCUAUUCAAAGCAAUGUAGGAUGCAAGUAAUAGUAAAUAUGAAAGUUAUUUUAUUCUUAUUUUUAAAAUAUUUUCAGAAAUAUAUCCUUAAUGCCAAAGGAAGCAACAUAUGAGGGGGGGGGGUGAUGUUAUAGAAUAUAGAAAGCAAAAUGUAUAAUAAUUAACACAGAGGCCAUAAAUGGGGGCAUGGAAAGAUGGCAAUACACUGUUGAAAAUUCUUACACAUUAUACAUAGAAAAGUAUGAUAUUAUUUAAAGAUACACUAUGAUAACUUUAGGGCAACCACUACUAAGCAAAUAGUUAGAGGUAUAACAGUGCAUGCUCAGUUGUGUCUGCCUCUUUGCAGCUCCAUGGACUGAAGCCCACAAGGUUCCUCUGUCCAUGGAAUUUUCCAGGCAAGAAUACUGGAGCAGGUUGCCAUUUCCUACUCCAGGGGAUCUUCUCAACCCAGGGAUGGAACCCAUGCCUCCUGUGUCUCCUGCCUUAGCAGGUGGAUUCUUUACCACUGUACCACCUGGGAAGUCAGUGGAGAUAUAAUGAAACACUAAAAAAGACACAUCAAGAGGAUAAUUAUUCUUGGAUGGUUUCCUCCACUUCUCCAGUUCUGCCAGAGAUUUGAGGACUUCCCUGGUGGCUCAUUGGUAAAGAAUCCACUUGUCAAUCCAGGAGAUAACAAGCUUCAUCCCUCAUCUGGGAAGAUCCCACACGCCACGGGGCAACUAAGUCCAAAUGCCACAACUAUCGAGCCUCUACUCUAGAGUCGGGGAGGGCAGCCCCUGAAGCCUGUGCACCCCAGAGCCCGUGCUCUGCAACAAGAGAAGCCACGGCAAUUAGAAGCCUGUGUGCCGCAACUACAGAAAGCCCACACACAGCAACAAAGGCCCAACA